rnacentral:rRNA from 1 species
AGGUUACUGCUAUCGGUGUUCGCCUAAGCCAUGCGAGUCAUAUGUUCGUAAGAACAUGGCGUACUGCUCAGUAACACGUGGAUAACCUGCCCUUGGGUCCGGCAUAACCCCGGGAAACUGGGGAUAAUUCCGGAUAACGCACAUAUGCUGGAAUGCUUUAUGCGUAAAAUGGAUUCGUCUGCCCAAGGAUGGGUCUGCGGCCUAUCAGGUAGUAGUGGGUGUAAUGUACCUACUAGCCUACGACGGGUACGGGUUGUGAGAGCAAGAGCCCGGAGAUGGAUUCUGAGACAUGAAUCCAGGCCCUACGGGGCGCAGCAGGCGCGAAAACUUUACAAUGCGGGAAACCGUGAUAAGGGGACACCGAGUGCCAGCAUCCUAUGCUUGCUGUCCGGGUGUGUAAAAUACACCUGUUAGCAAGGGCCGGGCAAGACCGGUGCCAGCCGCCGCGGUAACACCGGCGGCCCGAGUGGUGAUCGUGAUUAUUGGGUCUAAAGGGUCCGUAGCCGGUUUGGUCAGUCCUCCGGGAAAUCUGACAGCUUAACUGUUAGGCUUUCGGAGGAUACUGCCAGACUUGGAACCGGGAGAGGUGAGAGGUACUACAGGGGUAGGAGUGAAAUCUUGUAAUCCCUGUGGGACCACCUGUGGCGAAGGCGUCUUACCAGAACGGGUUCGACGGUGAGGGACGAAAGCUGGGGGCACGAACCGGAUUAGAUACCCGGGUAGUCCCAGCCGUAAACGAUGCUCGCUAGGUGUCAGGCAUGGCGCGACCGUGUCUGGUGCCGCAGGGAAGCCGUGAAGCGAGCCACCUGGGAAGUACGGCCGCAAGGCUGAAACUUAA